rnacentral:tRNA from 1 species
GGUGGCUCAGUGGUAGAGUGCUUGCCUUGCAUGCAGGAGACCCUGGGUUCGAUUCCUCAGCACCA